rnacentral:lncRNA from 1 species
UCUUUAGAAUUUUCAGAUUUCUUUGCACUUGAAACUUCAGGCAAUGGUUGCUGAAAGUAUUGAUUAGGUUUUUCAUCUGGAAUGCUCUCGAUAUCCAGCUGAAGUUUAUGUUGUUCUUCCUCUUUGACAUCCUCUAUAGUCAUCUCUUUGACAUCCUCUGUAGUCAUGAGCAUAGAAGUUUCAGGAGAUGGUUUGUAUUCAUCAGCAUCGCUGUUUGAGCCACAUGAUAAGUAGCUACUCCUCACUUCUGUUUUGGAUGAAACUUCCUUCCCGUCAUUUGAGG